rnacentral:rRNA from 1 species
UACGGAGGGUGCGAGCGUUGUCCGGAAUCAUUGGGCGUAAAGCGCACGUAGGCGGCCUCAUAAGUCGGAUGUGAAAUCCCUCGGCUCAACCGAGGAAGUGCAUCCGAAACUGCGAGGCUCGAGUAUGGAAGAGGGUCGCAGAAUUCCCGGUGUAGAGGUGAAAUUCGUAGAUAUCGGGAGGAAUACCAGUGGCGAAGGCGGCGACCUGGGCCAAUACUGACGCUGAGGUGCGAAAGCGUGGGGAGCAAACAGG